GCGCGCUGUCCGGGCCGCCGCGAGCGCGAGAAGGGGCGUGAGCGAGCGCGGGCCGGCGGCGCGCUCCAGGCGCAGACUGCCCAGAACGCGCGCCGAGCGCUAGCGCGGGACAGACAGCCACCUAGGGGCGGGAAGCUCCGGGCACAGUUGCCGGCCCGCGCGCCUCUAGCUCACCUGCCGCCUGGCCAGAGAGGGGUGGACUGUAUGGCAAGGUGAAGUGGCGAGGCCGCGAGUCGCCUCCGUGAAGCUCUAGGCUUGCGGGGCACAGGCAGAGGGAAAGUUCAAAAUUGGGCUGCUGUGAUGGAUUGAUGAGACAGGAGACUGUCACGGCCGAGCGGAGGAGCCGGCAGAAAGAUGGUAGGAAGACGAAAAAUCCGGAGGACAACCACAAUCCCAGUCACGGCUGCCCCUAGAGAGUUCAAGAUCCACCUCCCUUUACCGACAAUCUACAUGAUUCCAGGAGCAGAGCAUCCACCGCCAGGUGCCCACAACAGGACUGACUCCAGACUCCAGCUGAUUGGUACAGGGUAGGUAGUGGCAUGAUUCACAUCCUAUUCUACAAAAUGUUGUGCUCCAUGGGUGCAUUUUGAAUAGAAAACAGGAUGAAUGGCAAUCUCUAGAGUUGUCCAACUUAAUUGAACUCGGCACUUGACUGAAGUAGGCUACUCAUAGUCUUUCCUCAAGAUUCUGGAAUUAAAUCUAGGA